rnacentral:lncRNA from 1 species
AUGAGAUAAAAAAAAAUCAUUUCAAUUCUGCAUUUAUAAAACAAUAUAACACAAGCUCGAGAGAGCUUUUGACAGAAUAUAAAAAUAUUAAAAUAAUAAAAUAACAAUAAUAGUAGCAUGCUCUCAUGCAAAAAAUGUAAAUAUUAUCAAAUGACAUUAUUUUUUCGUAUUAAAUAAAUUAUAUGUUGUGAUUGGCAUGAGACAACACAGACAUAGUACUUGAGAUUUCAAUUUCUCAUGUUUUGCUUUUGUUGAAAAUGUUUGCUAGCUGAUAUGCUGAUCAUGCAUGUGCUUUUAAAAUUUAUUAGGAGAUAUGAUCACAUGUAUGCUUCUCUACAGCUCUGAUGGAUGUUCAGUCCUGCCCAAUUUAGUUUAACUUUAAAUUUUGUAAAAUAUUUAAUAAAAAAUCAUAACUAGAAAUUAAUUUUUCAGAUUAAUUUAUGAAAAAACAAAUGACAUGUUCACUCUGAAGUUUUGGUAAAGUAGACCAUCUAGAAUAAUGGCAAGUCUAUGCCCAAUCUCACCACGGAUG